GGGACACGUCAAAAACUGGAGAGUUCUGACUCUAGGCACCCUCCACUCCAGACUUGUAACUGAUGAUCACAAAAAAGAAAUAAAACAGUUAUGCAUCACUCUCUUUUUAACUGUGCAUUAAUUCCUCACGGGACAGUUUAUUAAUAUGUAGAUGAUGAACAAUAAUUAUUUAUUCACACCUCAAAAUGAUGUGGAAUGAGGUGGAGGAAGAGAGAUAGGAAGAAAAGAAAAAGUAAGAGUGAGAAAAUAUAAGAUGUGAUAGAUGAUAAGAGGAGAGAGAUAGAAAUAAAAAUAUGUGAAAAUAAAAUGUAUAAAAAAAGAGAUGUAUCAUUACCCGAUGAUGAAAUGAUUGAGAGUGAGACAUCGAGUUUAGUACUAUCAUUUUGGCCUAUAUUUUUAUGAUUUAAAAGUUUUCAAUUAUAAUUUUUUACAGUGGAAAGAUAAAAUACAUUUUUAAGGGAUUGAUCCCUUAAAAUUUACCUCUCUCGUUUAUAUAUUUCUCAGCUUUUACCACUUGAGCUAUCAUUCGGAGAUAAUUGUUAAUCUUAAUUUAUUAAUUAAAUAAAUAUUAUCUAUAUUUAUAUAGGCUAAAAUUAAAGUUUAACUAUAUAAAUUAAUUCAAAAACUUUCUAAAAUGAUUUUGAACUGAUUUAGAUAAAGUCAUUAUUCACUUGAUGAAUAAAAGUGGGUUUGCAUGCGCACAUUGAAGUAAGUUAGCACAAUAAGAUCAAUUGUAGGAUGUUUUUUUGUGAAAAGUGGAUCAAAUGGAUUGAGGGUUGCUUGACGUUGGUUUCAUUCUCAAUUUCGAUGAACAGAAGCUCGUGCGAUGAAUUCUUCAUAUCCCUGUAAAAGGGAUUAGACAAUGUGACUCAUUAGCUCUGUUCUUAUUCUUAAUUAAUAGUGGCUAAGGUAUUGAGUUACCUAUUUAUUUUUGUUGUACAUCGGAUUUCAAUUCUGCUAUGUAAUAAAACAAUCAUGUCUUCAAUCCAAUCCUCUUCAACAUUGUGAUUGACUCCCAUAAUUUGGUUCUUAAAAAAAAUCACUAUAUUAUAUAAGGCCAGAGAUUCUUUCAAAGCAUCUUAAAAUACUUUUAACAGCCCAAAUAUUCUCAUUAGUUUCACAAAGCAGAAUUGUAUCAUCCGCAAAUUGAAGAUAGAUAGCUGAUUUCCAAUUUAUCACUCAUCCUCUGUCGGCUAUUUUCCCUGUUACUGAAAGAGAGAAAAACAUGCAGCUAUGUGCAUCAGUUUUCAAGAUCUCUCAAUAUGGAAUAUGGACAACAUGGGAUCCACGUGCAAUGCCAGGUAUAGUACUAUAAUGUUAGCAUGAUUACUGCACUUUUUCAUGGUAAUGAAACUUACUAUUGUAUUUUGAUGAGGAAUUAAUGAAGGUACCUCUGUACGUUGCGACGAAAAUGGUGUCAAGGGUAGCAUCAAUUAAGCAAAAUUCGCUGUUCAUACCAACACCUGAAGGUUAUGCAAGAGCUGCAAUUCGUGCAAUUGGGUAUGAACCAAUUUCCACACCUUACUGGGCUCACUCAAUUCAGUGGUGCUUCGCUCGCUUAAUCCCUGAUCCGCUUCUUGAUGCUUGGCGCUUGUCCAUUGGUAUGCGUCGCAGGAAUUAUAUAAAGGGACAGAAGAACUAACUGAGAGCUUACCAUUAGCGCAGUGUUUGGGCAGAGCUAGAGCUUGGCUAAUGCAUAAGUUAGUGUUUGGUGUGUGCGUGUUUUGUAUAAAAGUUCCUUCUAACUUUUGUGAAAGUUGGUUAAUUUUAGAGUGAACCGUUUAAUAAUCAUAGUGUGGAAGUUCCAACUUCUUUUAUCCAUUAUGAACUAAAAUCUUUUCUCUCAUUCUUGUGUCUUAUUUUCAGAUAGAAAUCAUCUGUUGUUCAGUCUAGUUUUGAUGACUCUUUUUCAUGCUCUACCAAGUACCACCAUUAAAAUUAAAAUUGUGGUAACGUCAUUAAGCAUAUGCAAGUGGUGGAUUUGUGGUUGUACUCCUAACAGCCUAGAUUUAGAAGAAGAAAAAGAAAGAGUCCGGGAAAAAAAUCUAACCCAAAAAAGAAAACAAAAAACAAAUUGGGCAAAGAAAGGAAAAAAAAGGUUCCGCUUGAGUACAAGUUCAAGUAGAGUAUAAUAUGUAAUAAUUAUAACGACCAAUAUCACAUCCAAUAAGCAAUGAAUUAUAAAGAAAAUAUGAUAAUAAUUAGUAAUUAAUAAAUCAAUAAGUAGGAGAAAGAAAAGGUUAUAAUUUUGCCCUUAGGUUACACAUGAGUACUAGUAUUUAUACAAAAGUGUAGCUAACUAACUUAUAAUACAAGUAACAAACUCAGCAACUAACUAUAACUGACCACAACUAUUAUUCUCACCUAUGUUUUGACUUUUACUUGCUAUUUUCAUUCUGUAUUCUCAAAGAUCUCCUUGGAGCUAGUGUUGGUUUUGUGUUUCGACCAAGCUAGAGCUCAUGAUCCGAGUGUUUACUUUCACUCUCGUCCUCCAAGUCCCCCAAGUAUAUUUCACUCUCGAACCCUUGGGGCUUAUGUGUGAAAUAUCUAACAAGAAAAAUUGACGAGCGGGUGAUUUUUCUUUAUUCCCAGAAAUAAGAGUGUACUAAGAUAACAUAUAUUAAUAUCUCAACUCCAACCGUAGAAGACUAGACAACCAAUAAUCAGUAGAAAGGCACGACAUCCUACUACCCAUAUACUGACUUGAGUUGCUAACCCCAUACCAACUUUAGCACUAGCAGGAGUUACACAGGAGACUAGACUAGGUAUAACACAUAAGCCUGCAUUAUCACUAAAACUGCACCAUACAAGUGUAGAUUUAACAACUUAAUCGUAAAGAAAGUUAAGAAAUAACAUGGAGAUACAAUGAAAUCAUAAUUAAACUUGGGAUUUGGAAAAUCAGUCCUUCUAGAGUAGCAGGGACCCUUCAAGACAAGGAGUUGCCAUUAAGGUUCCUGCAUAAGUAUUUUUUUUAAUACAAACCUCUAGUUUUCUUAUUUGUCUUAUUCAAGUUCAAGUAGUCAUGGGCCUAUGAGAUUUAGGUUCACAUAAAAUGAGUAGGUUCCGCUUGAGUAAAGUUCAAGUAGAGUAUAAUAUGUAACAAUUAUAACGAUCAAUAUCACAUCCAAUAAGCAAUGAAUUGUAAAGAAAGUAGGAUAAUAAUUAUUAAUUAAUAAAUCAAUAAGUAGGAGAAAGAAAAGGUUAUAAUUUAGACCUUAGGUUACACAUGAGUACUAGUAUUUAUACAAGAGUGUAGCUAACUAACUUAUAAUACAAGUAACAAACUCAGCAACUAACUAUAACUGUCCACAACUAACUAUAACUGCCCACAACUAGUAUUCUCACCUAUGUUUUGACUUUUACUUGCUCUUUUGAUUCUGUAUUCUCAAAGAUCUCCUUGGAGCUAGUGUUGGUUUUGUGUUUCGACCAAGCUAGAGCUCAUGAUCCGAGUGUUUACUUUCACUCUCGUCCCCCAAGUAUAUUUCACUCUCGAACCCUUGGGGCUUAUGUGUGAAAUAUCUAACAAGAAAAAUUGACGAGCUGGUGAUUUUUCUUUAUUCCCAGAAAUAAGAGUGUACUAAGAUAACAUAUAUUAAUAUCUCAACUCCAACUGUAGAAGACUAGACAACCAAUAAUCAGUAGAAAGGCACGACAUCCUACUACCCAUAUACUGACUUGAGUUGCUAACCCCAUACCAACUUUAGCACUAGCAGGAGUUACACAGGAGACUAGACUAGGUAUAACACAUAAGUCUGCAUUAUCACUAAAACUGCACCAUACAAGUGUAGAUUUAACAACUUAAUCGUAAAGAAAGUUAAGAAAUAACAUGGAGAUACAAUGAAAUCAUAAUUAAACUUGGGAUUUGGAAAAUCAGUCCUUCUAGAGUAGCAGGGACCCUUCAAGACAAGGAGUUUCCAUUAAGGUUCCUGCAUAAGUAUUUUUUUUAAUACAAACCUCUAGUUUUCUUAUUUGUCUUAUUCAAGUUCAAGUAGUCAUAGGCCUAUGAGAUUUAGGUUCACAUAAAAUGAGCAGGUUUCGCUUGAGUAAAGUUCAAGUAGAGUAUAAUAUGUAACAAUUAUAACGACCAAUAUCACAUCCAAUAAGCAAUGAAUUGUAAAGAAAAUAGGAUAAUAAUUAUUAAUUAAUAAAUCAAUAAGUAGGAGAAAGAAAAGGUUAUAAUUUAGACCUUAGGUUACACAUGAGUACUAGUAUUUAUACAAGAGUGUAGCUAACUAACUUAUAAUACAAGUAACAAACUCAGCAACUAACUAUAACUGCCCACAACUAACUAUAACUGCCCACAACUAGUAUUCUCACCUAUGUUUUGACUUUUAAUUGCUCUUUUGAUUCUGUAUUCUCAAAGAUCUCCUUGGAGCUAGUGUUGGUUUUGUGUUUCGACCAAGCUAGAGCUCAUGAUCCGAGUGUUUACUUUCACUCUCGUCCCCCAAGUAUAUUUCACUCUCAUACCCUCGGUGCUUAUGUGUGAAAUAUCUAACAAGAAAAAUUGACGAGCGGGUGAUUUUUCUUUAUUCCCAGAAAGAGUGUACUAAGAUAACAUAGAUUAAUAUCUCACCUCCAACCGUAGAAGACUAGACAACCGAUAAUCAGUAGAAAGGCACGACAUCCUCCUACCCAUAUACUGACUUGAGCUGCUAACCCCAUACCAACUUUGGCACUAGCAGGAGUUACAAAGGAGACUAGACUAGGUAUAUCACAUAAGCCUGCAUUAUCACUAAAACUGCAUCAUACAAGUGUAGAUUUAACAACUUAAUCGUAAAGAAAGUUAAGAAAUAACAUGGAGAUACAGUGAAAUAAUACUUAAACUUGGGAUUUGGAAAAAUCAGUCCUUCUAGAGUAGCAGGGAUCCUUCAAGACAAGGAGUUGUCAUUAAGGUUCCUGCAUAAGUAUUUUUUUAAUACAAACCUCUAGUCUUCUUAUUUGUCUUAUUCAAGUUCAAGUAGUCAUAGGCCUAUGAGAUUUAGGUUCACAUAAAAUGAGCACACUGAGGUUCUGCUUAAGUACAAGUUCAAGUAGAGUAUAAUAUGUAACUAUUAUAACGACCAAUAUCACAUCCAAUAAGCAAUGAAUUAUAAAGAAAAUAGGAUAAUAAUUAGUAAUUAAUAAAUCAAUAAGUAGGAGAAAGAAAAAGUUAUAAUUUAGACCUUAGGUUACACAUGAGUACUAGUAUUUUUACAAGAGUGUAGCUAACUAACUUAUAAUACAAGUAACAAACUCAGCAACUAACUAUAACUGCCCACAACUAGUAUUCUCACCUAUGUUUUGACUUUUACUUGCUCCUUUGAUUGUGUAUUCUCAAAGAUCUCCUAGGAGCUAGUGUUGGUUUUGUUUUUCGACCAAGCUAGAGCUCCUGAUCCGAGUGUUUACUUUCACUCUCGUCCCCCAAGUAUAUUUCACUCUCGUACCCUUAGGGCUUAUAUGUGAAAUAUCUAUAAGAAAAAUUGAGGAACGGGUGAUUUUUCUUUAUUCCCAGAAAUAAGAGUGUACUUAGAUAACAUAUAUUAUUAUCUCACAUCCAACCGUAGAAGACUAGACAACCGAUAAUUAGUAGAAAGGCACGACAUCCUCCUAUUCAAGAUGUCCCUCUUUGCUAGAGAGGGCAGAAUAAAAUAGGAUUUCAAAGACUUGAGUUCUUGAUCAAUGCAGCAUAAAUAAACCAUAGAUUACAAAGUGUUAAACUAUUUAUCUUGCCUUUUUAAUUGUUCUUUUUAAUUGACCAUUCUCGUUCCUUAUGCUUAUUUUACUAUUACAACACAGAAACUUAUCUAGUAACCAAAUUCAUGAUGCAUUCCGGCUUCAAUUGGAACAAUAACUAUUUUACAAGUUUUAUAAGUGACUUCUUGUUCUCGCUCUUCUUAGUGUUAUAGUUUUGGAAAGUAACGAGAGAGUGAAAGAGAAGAUUUUUAGGGAAAUAAUAUUUUUUUGUUUAUAACUUGGAGCAAUACAUGUUUUAUAUAGAAAACAUAAAAGACCUAGCUGCGGUUGAAAACGCCGCAGAUUGCAUACUCCAUUUCGACUCUAUUUUACGGUGGUUUUAACCGCCGCUAGAUACUAAUUAUUUUUUCUUCAUGAUCGCUUCUAUUGCGAAUUAAUACAUAAAAGUUCAUUACUUUCAUAUAAUUUAACACAGCACAGUGCCUAUGACUAACAAAUUCCAAUUUCGACUGUAUAUAUAGGAGCAACCAUUUUCAUCUGAAGUUAAAUAAUGAAUAUACAAAGUUGGAGGCCUCAAACUCCUCAAAACAGAAUGCAAAACUGUUUAACAAAUUUACUAAUUUCGUCUAGACAUUUGCAUGUCAAAACUAGAAACAAAUUAUAACAAUCAAGUCUGUUAAUGACCACAAUUCAUUAGCAUACAAGUGAUCUUUCCUAUUUUUCUAAAAAAGACAUCAUCAUGAAUAGCAAGAACAAUUCUUGUUAGUGAAAAACAAAUUGCAUAGUUAUCAUGAUUAUUAAGUUGUGAUUGCCUAAUGUCCAUACAGCAAACCUGAAAGCAGAGUUGACAUUGUUACAAACACUGUAAGAUUGCUUGGACUUUUAACUUGAAUAAGACAAAUAAGAAGACUGGAGGUUUGUAUUAAAAAAAAUACUUAUGCAGGAACCUUAAUGGCAAAUUCUUGUCUGGAAGGGUCUAGAAGGACUGAUGUUUCCAAAUCCCAAGUUCAAGUAUGAUUUCAUUGUAUCUCCAUGUUAUUUUUUAACUUUCUUACGAUUAAUGUGUUAAAUCUACACUUGUAUGCUGCAAUUUUAGGGAUAAUGCAGGCUUAUGUGUUAUACCUAGUCUAGUCUCCUAUGUAACUCCUGCUUGUGCUAAAGUUGGUAUGAGGUUAGCAGCUCGAGUCAGUAUAUGGGUAGGAUGAUUUAUUGCCUUUCUACUGAUUAUUGGUUGUCUAGUCUUCUACGGUUGGAGAUUAGAUAUUAAUAUAUGUUAUCAUAGUACACUCUUAUUUCUGGGAAUAAGGAAAAAUCACCCGCUCGUCAAUUUUUCUUGUUAAAUAUUUCACACAUAAGCCCCAAGGGUACGAGAGUGAAAUACACUUGGGGGACUUGGGGGCGAGAGUGAAAGUGAACACUCGGAUCAUGAACUCUUGGUCAAAACACAAAACCAACAACAGCUCCACGGAGAUCUUUGAGAAUACAGAAUCAAAAGAGCAAAUAAAAGUCAAAACAUAGGUGAGAAUAGUAGUUGUGGUCAGUCAUAGUUAGUUAUUGAGUUUGUUACUUGUAUUACAAGUUAGUUAGCUACACUCUUGUAUAAAUACUAGUACUCAUGUGUAACCUAAGGUCUAGAUUAUAACCUUUUCUUUUUCCUACUUAUAGAUUUAUUAAUUACUAAUUAUUAUCAUAUUUUCUUUAUAAUUCAUUGCUUAUUGGAUGUAAUAUUGGUCGUUAUAAUUGUUACAUAUUAUACUCUACUUGAACUUGUACUCAAGCGAAACCUCAAUGUGCUCAUUUUAUGUGAACCUAAAUCUCAUAGGCCCAUGACUACUUUUUUUUCCUUUCUUAGCCCAAUUUGUGUUUUCUUUUCUUUUUUCGAUUAGAUUUUUUCCCGGGCUCUUUCUUUUUCUUCUUCUAGCCAAAUCACCCAAACACUUCUUUUGGUAACAGAGGAAUGAACACACUAACAGAAAACCAAACUUCAAUUAAUCUUUUCCUGAUUAUCCUCCUCCCUAUAACUUUUGGUUGGACACAAUCGACAUUGAUGAGAUAGCAAAAAAGAGAUUUUAAAGAAUGGAGGAAAUUUAUUGCAACUUUUUACCAAAUCAUAGGUACAUGACCAAAAUCUAGAUUCAAUUUUCUUCAAAUGCAUAAAGGUUACUACAAAAGAUACACGCCAGAAAAUAUUGUCAAAGUCAAAUCUGAAGAGGGUACUUCACUAUACUCAAUGUAUUCGGUCUGUCGAAGGUCAAACAAUUUAAAUGCAACUGUAUGACAAAAUUGAAAAUUAAAGUUUAUCAUGAAUCAUAGUCAAGUUGCAAACAGAUUCUACUUGCCACCAUUUCUAAAAAGUGCAAGUUGGAACUCCUUCGCCACAAUGAAGUAUUUAGCAUUUAUAAUUUCUAUUUUAUCAAAAUGUUACUAAAUUCUGAUGACAUCAGUAAUAUAAACAAGGCUUAAUUGCACAUUUAGUCCCCCACUUCUACACUUCCUACAAUUUUGGUCCCCAACAAAAUUUAAUUGCAUUUUAGGACCCCCAACGUUGUUCUCCGUUAGCAAUUUUGGUCUUCCGUCCAAUUUCUAGCGGAAAUGCUGACGUGGCAUUCAUAAAUAAUAUUUUAAUUGAAAAAAAUUAAUUUCCUUAAUUAAACUAUUUUCAUAUUGAAAAAAAAAAGAGAAAACGAAUCAAUGCAUCACAUCUUCUUCUUUCUUGUUUCUUCUUCUUAAUUACCCAACCACCAUCUUCAGCCUCAAGCCCUCAUUCACACACCACCAUCGCCACUCCCAUGUCACGACACUCCUCCUCCUCCUCUUCGUAUUCUUCUUCUUCUCACCACGCACCACCAUCCAAAUCGCCUCUACUUGGAACCCAAAUCGUCCUCUCAUAGCAUCAUCUUCUUGCAAAACCUUGAUGAUCAAAUCAGGUCCCAGAUCUUAAAGAUCACAACAUUGAGCAUUGUGUUGUGGGUCGGUGGAGCUCCAAUGAGAUUCGAAGAGCUGGUUCGACGAUGGCCUUUGCGGUGGCCAGAACCUUCGAUGGUGGUGUCACUGUCGUGGAGAAGAAUCCCGAUUUGAUUCAGAUGGAGGUGUGAUUCAGAUGAGGGUCAAAUGGGUUCUGAAAAAGUUUGAAGCUUUAGGGUGUGUUUGGAGAGUUUGAUGGCUGAAAUGGGUUGAAAAAAUGAUGAAUCUGAAUGUUAAUUUGUGCUUCAAAGGUUGAUCUAAAUGUUGGGUCGGUGGGGGGUGUUUUCGAUUGGUUAAGAUGGGGGUGGAGGGGUGGUGCGGUGGUUGAGUGGUGGUGGUGCUUGGGUGGUUGAGUGGUGGUGUUGUGGUGCGCAGGUGGUGGUUGAAUGGAAGAAGAUGAUGGGGUUUAUUUUCCUUUCCUUUUUUUUCAAUAAAGAAAAUAGUUUAAUUAAAGAAAUUAAUUUAUUUCAAUUAAAAUAUUAUUUAUGAAUGCCACAUCAGCAUUUCCGUUAGAAAUUGGACAGAAUUGGGACGGAAGACCAAAGUUGCUAAUGGAGAACAAUGUUGGCCGUUAAAAUAUAAUAUAAAACCAUUAAAGUGACCCUUACCCAACAGCUUAGCUUUUGGGAUUAAGUGGUUAUUUGAUUUGGUAUCAGAGCCUCUAUGACCGAGAGGUCUAGAGUUCGAUCCUUACUCCCCUCACUUUCUAAUUAAAAAGUGAAAUUUAAUUAAGCACAUGGUAGGUGGGCUUGUGCAUUUAUCCACGCUUCAAGCCCAAAGGCUCUUGCGUGAGGGGGGUGUUAGAAUAUAAUAUAAAAUCAUUAAAGUGACCCUUACCCAACAGCUUAAGCUCUUGGGAUUAAGUGGUUAUUUGACAUGUUGUUGGGGUUCUAAAAUGUAACUAAAUUUUGUUGGGGACUAAAAUUGUGAAAAAUGUAAAAGUGGGGGACCAAAUGUGCAAUUAAGCCUAUAAACAAAAUCAUGGCUAGUUGUAACACAUGAAAAAGUUAUAAUGUCAACAACAAAUUAAACACAUUGUAUCUACCAAAAGCAGUGCAAACUUUGAUUUUGUACCAAAACUUUACACAAUUAAGACUAAUAGUUUGAUCAUCGUAAUUUUUGUAAAACUUGUUCUAGGGAGAGAAGUUACCUUGGGGAUUUUGAAUUUAUUGUAGACAUCUUGAAGGACCUUGUUGUUCUGAAUCAUUUCCUACUCAUUACUACCACGAUUUGUUCAUAUUCCUUUGGCAUCAGUUUUGAAAAAGAGGGGAGAUAAUACCUAGAAUUUUAUUAAACAAAACCAUCAUAAAAAAUCUGAAAAGGACAAACAGAGAUUUACAAUAUCAAUGAGUAAUAUAGUAAACUGGGCAAAUGAUAAGAAUCCCUAAGAAUCAAGUAAAACACCUAAACUAGUAAAACCAAAUCCAUAUUUGAAUAAUAGUUGAGUAAUUCUAGUUUGUAUUCGAACCAGCCUUAGACUGUUUUUGAACUAAAACCCACAUUUUUUAUUAAUUGUCACAUUUGUUUACUAUUCUUUCUUAACGGGCUUACCAUUAUAUUUAUUAUUAGGAUAUUUAAGACACAAGUUUAAAGUGAUGGACAUUAGUGCUAUUGCUAUUUCCUAUGUAAACAAAAAAAAAAGUGAGAAUCAAUGACAUAUUUUUUCUUUGCAUUGAAAAAUGUGUGUUAUAACAAUUUUAGGAUAUAAUAACAACAUAUAAAUGUGAUAAAUUUCCUUAGAAAAACUAAUAAUCAAUAAUCAAUUAAAAGUACUAAAAGAAUAAAUUCAUUUUUUUAGGAGAAAGAUUUACGAAAAGAUCAAAUCUAAAACAUAAAAAAGCGUAAUAGUUAUUAGUGCGAAAGUUUCAUUGGAUGAAAUGCAAGGGAGAAAUAGGUUCUUAUAUUUUUCUUACACUUUGAAGAUUAAUUAGUUUAAUUUUUACUUUUUUUGUUAUAUAUAUAUAUAUUUCUACUAAACAUAAUUUAAUUUAUGUAUUGAAAUUCAGUCUCCAACUAUAACAAUUUUUUUUACUUGGUCCCCCAAAAUUUAUCUCCUGGUUCCGCCACUAGUCCACUACUAGUGGCCUUUACGUGUUACCGAAUUCUUCCACCGUUAGAAUGAAAAAAGUCAAAAAACUGAUCACCUAUGAACAAUGACUUUUGUGUAAAAAAAAAACAAUGACUUUUACUUUACAUUCAAUACAAGUUGACCACAUUUAUUUUGUUGUUUUUUACUUCAAUACUCAAUAGAGAAAACCCCCUGAAAUAUAUAAUUUGCAUUAUAUUAAACUCUACAUUAUAAUCAUAUUUGCAAGAAAGAGGGUCCAAAAAUUCUUAAUUAAUAAAGAAAGGAAAGCAAACAGUGGUAUUCAAAACGCAAGUUCUAAUUGUGACGUCCCUAAAAGUGUGGACGUAUGAUAACAGUUGGUUCAGGUGGUAUUUUUUUUAUAAGCAAAUCAAAUAUAGUAAUAGAAGUACAAUGAUACUUUAACUCAAUAUAAAAAGAAGAGUAGUAAGUGAGGAAGAAAUUACAACUCAAAUCCACUUUAGAGAUCCCCGGAGGCAAGACUUUUAAAAACAUGUCUCGUUAAAACCUUACAAGAAAAACCUCAUUGAAAAAAACAUUUUGAAAGAAAAAAAGAGUGAUGCUAACUUUACUCUUUAGAGUGAUUUCAGAGCUUAAUUCGAGAAAUAUAACACUCAAUGAGAGCUUGCCCAUAUCUAAUAUUUUCAUUUUUUUUGAUAAGCCAAAUGUGUAUUAUAAAUAGAGGUACAAGGGGUACCACAACCCAUAAUACAAAAUAGAGUGCACUACAAAUAGAGAAAAGUAAAAACAGGACAGCAACCAAAUAGAAAGCCAGACAUCAGGCAAAAAAACACAAAAUGAAAACAAAGCAGAAAGCUCUCAAUCAUUUGUAUUGUAUACCACCAAGUUCAUUCAAAAUGUCCAAAUGCCAACACAUCACCAUGCUGCUACCUUAGCAUCCGUUCCAGCAAAAUCCCCACUCUGCAACCACCUCAGAAUUUCGUAUUUCACAUACCAGCAACACAUAAGGAAGGAUGGGCAAACCAUUCAUAAAAAGAGCAGCUAAAGCCUUUUAGAUUAGCUUUAUUCCAUUGCCAAGAGCGCCGCUGAAUCAGAUCAAAAGUCCCAGACACAUCCACCAGUUUUCCUCUAAAAGCACAGUCAUUCCUGAGGAGCCAGAGGGACCAAAUAGUUGCCAACCAGAUUGAGAACAUACCUCUCUGUUGGUAUUUAUUUCUCCCAAAUUUAAAAUGGUUCAAGUGAUCGCGAGAGGACAAGUGGAUUACAACAGAACACCCAACCCAUCCAUAGCAGCGCUUCCACACUUCCCUGGAAAAAGAGCAAUCAAAGAGAAGAUGGAAACUUGUUUCAUCUACAUUUCUGCAGAAGAAACACUUAGCCUCACCAUGUGGAAGAGGGACCUGACGCCUCCUCAAGCAAACCAGAGAGGCAAUUCGAUCCAACAUAACCCUCCAAGCGAAUGCCUUCACCUUCUAAGGAGCAGAUGAAUUCCAGAUCACCAGGAGAAUUGGAUCUUGAGGGGGCAACGAUGGUUCCUGUAAGAAACAAUAAGAGGAUUGGACAGAAUAAUUCCCAUCAGCACUUGGAAGCCAUGUCCACUUAUCCGGAACACCUUGCUGGAGUUGAACAGUAGCAACAUCACGAAGCAAGGAUUGCUCCCACAACAGCUCACGGCCUCUAAGCGGACGACGCCACUUGAACUUCCAAUGCCAAGACCUGUUAAUCCACUCACCACAAUCACUCACACUUGCCAAUUUCAGGUAGGAAAGAUUAUACAAUCGAUGGUAUUUCGACACUAAGCUUUCAGCUCCAGCCCACGGUUCCCACCAAAAUGGAGUGUCAUUCCCUUCCUUAAUAGCUUUAGACGAGCCAGCAUCAAUCCAGCUAACUCCAUCCACCCUACAGGCAUCAUUCAGAUCACGCCACCAAGGUGAAGGCUGAGAACACGUACCUGAAAAAUAUUUUGCUUUAAUUACUCGGCACCAUAGGCUUUUCGGAUCAGUCCGCAGCCUCCAAAGCCACUUCCCAAGCAAAGAUUUAUUAAACAACUUCAGAUCUUUUAUUCCUAACCCUCCCACCUCCUUUGGCAUACAAAUUGAAUGCCAUUUGACCCAAGCAAUCUUACUAACAUCCUCCGAGCCACCCCACAGAAAACGUCUCAUAAUCCCUGAGCAAAUACUUUCAACACCUGCAGGCAGCUUGAGAAAAGAAAGGUAGAAUAGUGGCAAGGCUGAGAGCACGCUUUGGAUUAAACAGACCCUACCACCAAAUGAGAUAGUUUUAGAGCGCCAAGCUGAUAGCUUUCCCCUAAACUUCUUAAUAACCGGCUCCCAAGUCUCCUUACGGCUUGGGCAACCCCCAAUUGGGACUCCUAGGUAAGUAAAUGGUACAGUCAUCGUCCUGCACUGUAAAAUUGAAGCAAGCUGAUUAGAAACAGAUACCGGGACAGCAAUCGAGGCUAACUUACUUUUGUUGAAGUUAACUUUGAGGCCCGAGAUCAAUUCAAAACAUCUUAACACGCAUUUCAGCACCACCAUAUUCUGGACCGUCGCCUCUCCCACAAACACCGUGUCAUCAGCAAAUUGUAACAAAGACACUUCACAAUCAGCGGACCCACCAACCUUAUAGCCAACAAAUUUACUCAAAGCAACAGCAUUAAGAAACAGCCCAUUCAACCCUUCAGCUAUAAUCAAGAAGAGGAAAGGAGCAAUGGGGUCUCCUUGCCGGAUUCCCCUUUCCAUCCGAAACUCAGCACUUGGGCUUCCAUUCACUAAGACCGAUACUGAGGCAGACUGAAGGCAUCCAUGGAUCCAUUUAAUCCAACGAGGAUGGAAGCCCAUUCGUCUCAUCAUGUAAAAAAGGAACUCCCACUCCACCGAGUCGUAGGCUUUUUCAAAGUCUACCUUAAAGAUACUGGUUGCCCUUCGCUUAUACUUAGCUUCAUGGACAACUUCAUUAAGAACCACUGCACUAUCCAACAUAUGGCGACCUCCAAUGAAGGCAGAUUGUCGCUCAUCAAUAAUCUUCCCCAUAACAGGUUUCAGCCUAUUUGUCAGCAGCUUCGAGAUCACUUUGUAGAUACAUCCAAUAAGGGAUAUUGGCCUGAAAUCAUUAAGAGACUGAGGGGAAUUGAUUUUAGGAAUGAGAGCAAUAAAGGAUGCAUUGGAUCCUUUCGGCCAAACUCCACGCUGCCAAAACUCCUUAACAGUCUUCAGGAAAUCAACUUUUAGGACAGGCCAAAACUUCUGAACAAAUUUAAAGUUAAAGCCAUCGGGUCCUGGGCUUUUAUCACCCCCACAAUCCCACACGGCAUCCCUAACUUCACAGUCGCUGAAAGGUUCAAUCAAAGCUGAGUUAUCAGCAGCAGAAAGGGAUUUAAAUUGCACUCCAUCAAGAGUUGGACGAAUCCAAGAAUCUGACUUAAAUUUCUCAGCAAAAAAAUGGUGGACCGCUUCCUUCACCCUUGCUGGCUGAUCUUCCCAGAUACCAUCAACCAUCAAACCGACAAUAGAAUUGGCACGUCGCUUCCAAUUAAUCGUAGAAUGAAAGAAGCUGGUGUUCUGGUCACCUUCAGAAAUCCAUCUAGUCCGGGCCUUUUGAAACAGUAAGGAUUCAUGAUACCGCAGAACCAUCCAGAACUCAACCAUGAGUUCUCUCCUAUUAUAACAAAGGAGUUGUCUAAAUGACCCAAGAAAAAUUUGGGUUGAAUAACAUAUCAUCCAAUCACAUUGAAGAUAAGUGAGUUGGAAUUUUUAUAUUUUAUUUAUUAAUUUAUUUUCAACUCACUUAUCUCCAAUAUGAUUGAAUGAUGAGUUAUUUAACCGAAACUUCCUCAUAGGUCAUUUAGACAACCCCUAUAACAAAACAUGCACUCAGAUUAAGUUGUCGUAGUGCUAAAUCACUAAUGUGAAAUCUUAACCCUAGUAUUAAUAUUUAAUCACUUGUUUUCCGCUUUCUCUGGAGUCUUCUUAAAUCGCAACCACUAAGGCACUAACAAUGAACUACAGAGGAAACAACGACAACUCACUCGCAAUAUUCCAUUAAAAAUAUUCUGUUAUGUUACGUACUGUCUUAUGUUUCUUAAAAUAUAUGCUUGAGUUCUUCAACUUUGUAAUUAAAUAUUUGUGCUUUUCAAAUUACGUGCUAUAUUAUCCUCAUCUAAACAAAUUCACAAGCCUCAUGUGUUGGUCUGAGUGAAAGGAGCUCAGAUCUCUUAAACAUGUGGUCAAGCAUUGGUCCCUACUUUAAUACGUGACAUUCAUGUAGGAAAUUAAUCUUUCACCUAUUAAGUAGUGGAAGGAUACUAGAAAUCGGAAAAGAAUAAAAGAACAAAUUCACAGGCACAAUAAGCUUAUUUUGAAAGUAAAAAACUGCAUACUCCAUCAUCCACCACUAACGUAGCAUUCAACUUGUUCAAACAACAAAACAAUGUACACACUUAAUUUAUAAGAUCCAUUCAAAUUUACCCAGAACACAUAACUAAAGAAAGAAGAGAGAGGGAAUAACCACCGUUUGAUAAAGGGAAAAUAAAAAGAAAAGAAAAAGUAAAAACAGAGAGGGAGAGAAAGUAGUUACAAACGGUUAACGAUUUGUUUGCAGUUUAUGUUUCUUUCGAAACGCAACCUCCGUGUCCAAUCCGAAACCAUCAACGGUGCGGACAUGAACCAAAACUGAUUUGUUAAAAAGCUCUACGAGAGGCUGCACGCUGUAGAGGUCGUUAGCGGAGUACUUAUCGGCGCGACGCGAAAGCGCCACGUGCAGCACGCACACACCGUCAGGCUUCAACGUGCGUUCAAUCUCUGCUACAAACCGCUGUGGGUACAAUGCGUGAUCAAACACGUUGGAGAAUUCAAAAUCAAACAUCUCAUCACCAAACGGUUGGUGGUGAAAGUCACCCUUCACCACCAAUGGCGGGUAGGGGACCAAGUCGAUUCCUACAGAAUCAACCACACCUACCCGCCGUAGGGCCUCCACCUCCUGACCCACGCGUGCGCCAAUGCAGAGGGCCUUGGAGGUGUUUUGUAGAAGGCUCUUGUCCUUGAGGUCUUCGAAGAACCGCGCAAAGACGGGGAUCUUCCGGUUCCAGUCGCGGGUGGUCCAUAUCUUUCGGAGCCUUGGGUUGAGGGUCUUGUUGAGCUGGCGUUGUAUGUAGGUCUCGUAGGAGGUGUAACCGGGUCGGAUUGUGAGAUCUUUUGUUGUGGAAUGAGAAUGUUGAGGUUGUUGUUGUUGUUGUGGAGAGAAUAGAUGGAGGAAGAGGAAAGGGAGGGACAGGAAGAGUGAGAUGAGGAAGCAUCUUAGGAUGAAUGGUUUUGUGAGCGUGAGUUUCAUAUCCGUGUAAAAUGCUUAUGGUUGAUGAUGUAGUUAUGCUCAGUUUGCAUUGUUAUUUUGGUUUUUGUGUUUUGGAUGGUGUGGGAGAAAUGGGGGCCAUGAAAAGUUCUGGAAACAGAAAUUUGAAACACAAAAAUGAGAGAGAAGAAAAACUAAACCAAUAUAAUGAAACGAAAUUUCAGUGAAUUAAAGCGGAAAAAGGUGAUAGAUAGUUAGAUACGUCGUUUGUGAUGAUUAUUAUGAAAAUUGGCAAAGAAGGAAGUACGCGUGGUGCGCAGUGCGCGCAUGCAAAGAAUCAAGGUGGCACUAUUUUUGUGUGUAUACUGUAUAAGCUUCAUUUUGCGUUGUGAAUUUGUUAACUUUAAGCCUCACUUUUCCGUACAUCGAUUGAUAGCAUGUAGAAUAAUACGAAUUCACGUUGAUUACAGAGCGCUUUAACGGGUAGGAGGGAAAAGAAAAAGGGAUUAAUUAAAUAAAAGUAUUAAUGGGUCCAAACUGAGCCAGCAAAUUAAGUGAUAAAUGGUUGGACAAAGCCAUGAUUAUAGGGAGAGUGAGGAGAAGUAAGGAACAAGUCAAAGUGAAAUUAAUCAACGUGAUCAUGGUUAUAUAAGGUUGCCGUCCCAUUCAAAUAAUAUAAAAAACUAAAAAGGUUAAUCAAUAUUUUUUUUUUUGAGUAAAGGUUAAUCAAUAUAUUGAAAACAUAUUAACCAAAAAAAAAAUAUUGAAAACAUAUGUGUUUAGCUGUUUGACCGCUAUUGUUAUUGUGGAUUUCUAAACCAUCAAUUUUUUUUUUAAAUGCACCGUAGAUUGUGAUGGUAAAAAACCAUCACAUCUACUAAAUUGCCUUAAAGGCUUAAAUUAUCAUAUAUCGGAUGAAUUUCGCUCCAUCUUUAUGUUCACUAAAUAUUACCAAAUUUUAUACAGUGAAUAUUGACAGGCUGAACAAAAAUUGGAAUAGGGACACUCCAAUGCAAGGGAAAGUAUCAAAUAUGAUCAUGUGAGGUCAAAUUAAACUUGACUUAUUAGGGCAGAAACUACAUGCAUGUGAUUACAAAAUUCCAAUGAAUAUGUUCAAGCUGCAUGCAUGACUCUUCUGAUAGGUUCGCCAAUCACCAUGCAUAUAUAUGUUGCAUCGUUACAGUUAUUACAGUUACAUUCAUUGGUUAUCUGCGGCCAUAGCAAUGGGAUCAGUAUCUCACCCAAUCUUUAAUCGGCACUCCUCCCAAUCUUGCCAUGAACGAAGCAAGAUUUUGUAAUCUUCUAGUUUAACCUUUGUUUGGACUGAAAAAUGUAAAAGAAGAAAAACACGAAAUCUGAAAAAAUAAAACUAAAACUUAUUAUUUGAAAAACAAAACGAGAAAAGGAAAUCUUACACCCAAGCAAUUAAAAUAGUUUUGUAAUUUCAAAUUUUUGAAUUUUCCUCUUUUACAUUUUAAUUUUAAUGUUCAGUACAAUUCCAUCCCCCGACAUCUAACAAUCUAAUUUUCAAUUAAAAAGAUUUGUUAUUUCGCAUUUGUAAGUUUCCCUCUUUUACAUUUUAAUUGAGUAAAUACUAAAUAGGUAAUUCAGUCCUGAAUUUUUUUUGGUGCUUAUUAGUCUUUGGGAAAAAAAAACUUUGUAAGUCCACGAAUGCGUAAAUUGCCACUAACAUACAUUAGUAAAAGUAACCAAGAAGUAUAUUUGGGCACUUACUCCACUACAACAAAUCGCGUAAUUAUUGACGGUCAAAAAACCGUUACAAAAAAUCUCACUUUACUUGUUCUUCUAAUAUGCCAAAAACUAGGCUUCGUUGGGCUAGCUUUCUAAGGCUCAAGUCUCUUAAACGUACUUUGAGCCUGAAUUUGACAUAUUAGUCUGAAAUAAGACAUUUUUACGGUAUAGUAUGACCCAUUUUAAAGUUCGGUCAGCUUAAAAACCUACUUAAAAUGUUAAUUUAUAAUGAGUAUUCAAAUGAACAAUAAGUUUUUCUCUAAAUUGACAAACAUGUUAUAGGUUCAAAAGUCUUUUGAAAAUGGCCCAAAUCUGACUUUUUUUUUAGUUAAAUGUUCUUUAUAAAAAAAAUAUAGGUUAUGUUUAUUUAGUUGAGAUGUUUUUGCUGUGUUCACCUAAUCAUCUUCAUGACCCAGGCCUUGGUCGCUUUGGUCUUGGUAUUGGAUAAAUGGACUUUUGAACCAAAAAAAAAGAUAAAUGGACUAUUUUCAGGCGUUGAAUGCUGAAGUUUAAACCUAGCCCGUUACACUUGCUCUUGAAAUGAAUAACAGAACCCAAAAAUCUUGACCCUUCAUGUGGUAAAUUUUCUCAUUAAUUGUGACAGAACACACACAAAAACAUUGAUUCACCUUGAAUUACAUAUAUUUCUCUUUCUUAAACUCACCUAAUUACUUUAAAUCAUAUCAUAAUUAAGACCCUCCCUAUAUAUGAAGUGAAGGGGCCUAAGUAAAGAUUGUCACACAUUCUCAUAAAAGAGUCAUACAUGUAUAUAGUAAAGAUGUUGAAAUACCACAAAUUCAACAAACAAUACUAACUAUGUCAUUUUUGUUCCCACAAAACGAGCACAUUCCCAUUAUAAUCAAACUAAAAAGGGUUAGACACCAAUGGUUUUCCUCACACUUCGCAUCACCUUGUAUCCUAUAAGAACCCUUCCUUGCAAAAUCUUAAUCUCCGCAUCCACCACAAUAUCAACCCUUUCCUUGCAGCGUUUCUCUAUCUCUCUUGUUGUAGCUAGAGAAAAACUGCACGCGCCUCUCAUCCUUAUAACAAACAAAACCAAAAAUAUUUUCUAUCAGAAUGGCACGUGCACGCUAUGUUGUGGUUCUUGCCUUUGUCAUGUUCGCCAUCAUUGGCAUCGCACGUGCCGCCGAGGCACCCUCCACCAACGAGUCCGACUACGAAGAAGAUGACACUGAGUUCAUGAUCGGAACUAAGGGUGGCGACGCUCCUUCACCCGGCACUGUUGUCGCCGCUCCCAUCGGUGGGCCCGUGCCUCCCGGUGCCUUCGACAAUGCUAAUGCUCAGGCUGAGGCACCCGCUUCCGCCGCCUCUUCCCUCCACCAAGUUUCAGCUGUUGCCGGAGCUGCCACCGCCGCUCUCGCCGGCUUCUUCUACUUCUAAUUGAUUCUGAUCGUUUGGUUCAGCAAUGCAUGCUAAGAUAGAGAGGAAUAGGAUUAAUGUUUAUAUCUGUUUCUUCUCGAUCGCACGUGCAUGCGUGUUGUUUUUUUAAUUUGGACAUGUAAUCGUCAAGUUUGUUUGGUUAUGAAACCCAACUAAUCAACGAUUUUUUUCAUGCUAAUAUAUAUGAUCAUGCUUGAAUAAAAGAAGCUUAAUUGAUAAUAACUACUCAGUUUUUAACGUUGAGAGUUGUUUAUGGUACCUUAUUUUUGUUUAGAUUUAGAAUAAAGCUUCAAACAUCAUUGGACACACACGUUGAAGCUUAAUUUGUUUAGUUGGGAAACACCGUUUUAGAAAGUCAAAUAUAACAGACUUGUGAAUUACAUCUAACCAAAAUGAUAAAGAUUGAAACCAGAAUGAUGUGAAGAGCAAAUAUUGGCAAUAAGUGAGAAAAAGUUUGUAUUAUUUAUUACUCACUAACUCAUGAUUCAGAUGAAAGGUGUUAGUAAGCUCGCUUGAUGAUUUAAGUGAUUCAUUUUAACUCAUACGCAAGCAUUAUGGUUUCAAUUUAAAGGAGAUCAUCAAAACCUUCAUGUACACAAUUUAUUCCAGUGUUCUAUAAUCAUGAAUGGACAUCAUUUAUUUCUUACAUUUAGUAGUUACUCACGUACAUAAGAGUAGUGAGAUGUCAAGACCUCACACAUGGGAAAAUGGGAAAUGGAACAAGCUACUUGAAUAGAAGUGGGAUUUUGUGCUGUAAAAAUGGUAAAACCUUCAUUCCUUCAACCACCUUCACUAACAGAAAAUUUGCUACUAGAAGAAGAGUAGUUAUUAUUUCAAAAAUAUUGGGAGAAUAAGUUCAAGAUACAAGACAGUAAAUAUCACAAAUCAUGAAUAGUCAAUAUAUUGUACAUUACGUACUGAAAAGUGCAAGAAUAUGUGAUUCACAUAAACACAACUCUAACCUGCACUAAUGCUUAUUAGUAUUACAAUUCAAUCCCAAUGAAUUUAACUCCCUAACUAGAGAAGUAUAUAAUGGAAUUAUCAGUCCCAACAACAACUGAAAAAAAUGCAGAACUUCAUCAAACUCUAAGCUGAACGAACAUAAAAAAUGCAAUUUAGCUGAGCCAACUUUUUGUCAAAAAUCAUUUUUCUAACUACAAUAAGUACCAUCUAGACCUGCUGGGAACCGUAUUAACCACAUGAAAUUGACUGCCUAGGACGAACUUUGGGAAUAAAAACAGGAAAUGCAUUUUUUUUUUCCACUGAAUAUACAUAUUCUAACUUAAUUCUGCCACCCUGAAGAAAGCAAGGAGGUGAAUUGAGGAUCAAAAUAACUAGACAUUCAUGCAAUACUUUAAUCAAGAAACUGCAUUCAUGACCAGCUAAUUGUUUUUUGCUUUAAUACAUCCCCUUGAAAACAGGAUUUGUCCUGCAAAUGCUUGCUCCAUAUUCUUCAUACUCUGCCUUGGUAUGACAAGCCUGCACAUUGGGCCAGAAAUUUUAAAACAAAAACAGGUUAGCUUUGCAUAGGGUAUGAGACUGCUAUUAUAUGAAGGAAAGUAGGAAACAUUUAAGAAAUAAUGGACUUGUCUGACUGGAACAAGGACAUUAUCACAAGAAAAGAAGACAUCAUAGUCUAGAUGGCAAAAAAAUGCUGUUUUAUUUUUACACUGGUGCAGUUUAAUAUUCCCAAUAGCAACUAAUACCAUAUAAUUUGUUAUGUACUUGGAUGCAAUCAUAGAAUUGUUGAGCAAUGUGGUAAAACAUGAAAAAUCAACUCAGGUUACCAAUGCCAGACAAAGAGGCAUUAACAACUACAUAGGUGAACUUUCUCAAGGACAAAUCUAAGAUGUACUGCCAACAAAUAAAGGAAUAACCUAAACCUACAAACUCACACUAUCCAACACCAACAAUUUAAGACCAAAUGUGUAAAUGUCAAAAGAACACAUUAAGAUUUUGGACCAAGUAUUUAUGUGAUUAUGUCAGAGAAAAAAGUGAGUCACUGAACAAGUAUCCCAUACUAAAUGGAAACACUGAUUAUCAUUAUAGAGAAGUAGAAAUUAUGGUACAAGGAUUGACCUUCCUGACCCAUAAAAUGAACAAAAUGCAUACCGUAAAAAACUCAGGCGUUGAUGCAAGCACAGAACCCCCAAACCAAACUGCAAAUCUCUGGAUUGGAUGGCUGAGUACAUUGACCUCCACUGGAUGUGACUGUGGGCUCCAAAUAAAGGAAAUAAAGAAAAAAGGUGAAUGCCGGACCAAAGCAGUAAAUUACUCAAGCUUUUCAUAAAUAUGCCAAUGUCACAACUUCCAAGCAUGUGGAGAAGCUUGUGUAGACCUUGUCUGCACAAUUUAUGCCAACCAAACCAACCAAAAACAGACACAUCAUUAUUUUAAAUUGAGCGGCACGAAGAUUUGCGUAAUUAUUUAACAAAAAAUAAUGAUGUGUCCAUGGUUGACUGUUUUGGUCGUACAAAUUGUGUAAACAAGGUUAAUAUAGACAGAGAAAAAGAGCACCAUCGAUAAAAUAAGAAGUAUGUAUUAACUCACUUUUAUCUCCCCAUUUAGACGUGUUUCAGCUGAAAGGGCACGAGCAUCAACAAUUUUCUUUAGAUCACGUUGCAACCUCCUGUGAAAAUCCUUGAACAUGGUUGAUCCUCCAGACAACACUAUAUUCUGAAUUGAAGACAAUGCAAGAUGUAAAGAGUUCAACCAAUUGCUAAGAAUAUGUAAACUAGAAGGCUUCAUAAAAUCAGAUAUUAAAUACUGUAGACUCAUAUAACACGUAACACUAAUUUACUGCAUCUGGGCCAACAACAACUGAAAAUGCCCUCUGCUAAUCAUGAGCCUUAGAAGUUCCAUGAUAUUAGGGUAAAAGCUGACUACUCAAUGCUCAGUAAAAUUUAGUAUUUUAAAUAGAGGAAUGCUAGCAACACACUCUUCAAACACUUCUUAUAAUUGUCUAUUUUUUAAAAAGGUCAGUUUAGGAAAAUUAUAAAUUUACAAGGCAAAUGCAUUGACUUUCCGAAAAUAGAUCAAACCUGGGGAGUGUGUUGAAGAGUGUAUUCAAAAGAGUAUGUUGCUAGCAUUUCUCUCUUACAUAUAUCAUGUUAAAACCGCACAUCAUAAAAUUUAGGCCCCUGAAGUAGGCACUCUCACAGGGUUUACUUGAUGUGAAUGUCAGCCAGUAAAAUGAGAUAAGGUACUACGGUACUAACCUUGUACAAUGAUCUUCUCGUGUCAAUUGGAGCAGACUGAAUGCACUUGUCUAUUACAACUGGCAAAGGAGUGCUAAAGUCACUGCUAUAUAUCUCAGGAUUAAAGAAAACCUGCAGAAAUCAUAGAAAAAACAAACAGAUAUCUUAAUUCACCAAUCUUGUUGACAUAAUGACCUAAGUCCCAAACCCAUAGAGAAGUUCAACACUUAAAACAAGGCACUACUACAGCUACAUUUUCAUGAAUUCUUCAAAAGUUAAGGUUAAAGGAACAAACCCAAGGAGCACCAUGAGCUAUAGCUGAUCAGGUGACAACUUGAUCAGUUGAUCCCUGGUUGAAAUCCCAGCCAGGCUACAUUGCCAACAUUUUAAAGCCUCCCUUCCCCUCCCCCACACUAGGUAUUAGAUCUCUUUUAUAAACCAAAAGGGAAAAGGAACAAACUUUGACCUUAUCACGGCAAAGGUAGGGCAAGGCAAAAUGAAAAAAUAUCACUUCAAUUUUUUUUUAUCAUUUUCCCAUAAAAUCCCCUAUAAUUCAGGUUGGUAUUGAUGGUAGGAAGUAGGAACUAAUCAAGUUCAAAAUUAAUUCAGUAUUAAGGAUAUGGGUUCAGGUAUUCACAAAGCUAAAAAAGGUAAGAAAAAAAAAACAAGUAGAUACAAAUAUGUACAAUCCAGAACCCUCUAAGACAAAUUUAGGUAUGCAUAAUAGAGAAAAGUAGAGCCACCAAACAAACCUCAGGGCCAAGAAAUCGUUCAUAGCCAAUAUCACAGGAAUAUGGAGCCCCUGUCUUUGGUUUGAUGCCUCUCCAUUGCUUGAUAUAUUUGGCUGGUUCUUUGUCAUGUUUAUUAAAUUCCUGAGAAAUUGAGCUAUUGUUAUUAAGGAGAAUUUAUAAGUCCAGAAAGCAACUUGAUAUCCCUUAUUUCACAAAAGGGAAGCAAUUAAAAGUAUUAAGGAAGUUCAUAAACACCCUAAUGCUGGGCUCAACAAAAUUAAAAGAAACAAAGGGCACAGCACAUCACAAACUCCUCAGAUGAUUAUGUCCAAAGCAUUAAAGGUGAAAAUGGAGACAACCUUCACAAUGUCAGAGCAUGUGUAGCAAUACAUUUCCUUUACUUUACGAGCCACUUCAAAAGAAUCUUCAGGUGGUACAUUCUCUCCUCUUUCCUGAAUGAAACAAUGUCAACAUGAGACAGUUCAUGAAUCUGAAUAUUGAAAAUUGACAAUUGGAUAUGGAUUAUUACAAUCGCAUUAAGUGCAAAAAAAGAAAAGCAAAAUACAUGAAUAAUUUUUUACUCAAUCAUGAAUUAGUGACCUACACUUCCACUUAUUAACUAUUAAACAUGUAAAAACAAUUCUAUUAGCAUAAAUACAUCACAUAAUGUUCUUCCAUUUUUUAGUGUUUACACAUGAGACAUGACUGGUUUCAGUAGCUAGUCUAAAUGGAAAUUUGUGAGAACCCUCAAUAUUAACAAAAAGUGGUUCAAAGCAAUUCCCAGAUAUUAAAAUUUAGGAACAGAUACCAGCAGAAUAAAGUUCUACUUUUUACCACAAGGAUUGCCUACCCGCAUAAGCUGCUGAACAAAAAGAGUAACAUCCUUUCCAGCAAGAGGAAUCGAUUUGAUACUACUCCCAAUAACAUAGCCAUCUGCGACAGGCACAACAUGAGUAGACCCAUCUCCAACAUCCACUACGACUCCUGUCAUCUCACACUGAGAAGAAUUCCAAAUCAGCCUAAAAGGAAAACAUUCUGAAAAUAGGAUAUAGGUAUAAUAAUAAAAAUCAAGAAACAGAAUUUCUUGAUAGCUCCUGGGGCUAUGUCAUCAAGUUUGCAAGUAAUUGCGAAUAACCAACUUAACAUUUUACAUCCAACACUAUAAGGAGAGCUGAUAAAUUAUCCUAUGAGCUUGUAAUAUUGCAAAACUACCACAAAGUUCAUAUUCAACACAUCACACUUUCAGGCGAAAAUAUCAAGAGAGUCAAAUUGCAGGGGUUGAUAAAACAUCCUAUGCAUAUUGCGCAUCGAUAGCUAGCUAGAAAAGUUGUAGAGGAGAUUUUGCAGAAGCUUAAAUGAACAAAACAUUAAAGAUUAAUCAUCCAACUCCACAAUUCCAACUCUAUCUACAUACUACACAAUAUUUUUCACAGAGUACCAAUUACCAACCUUAGAUGUUGUGUAGCCAGCUGCAAGAGCAAGCACAGAAUUCACAGCAAUGUAAAGUCCAGGUACAUUAAAAGUCUCAAACAUGAUUUCCCCAGUAUACUCGCGACUCUCAGGAGCUGUCAACGGACUCUCCGUCAAGAGAAAAUAGUGAUCCUCAGGAUCACACCUCAAAUAGUUGAAUAUGCACUGCUGCCAGUAGCGCUCCAUGGCGUCCCAGUUAUCAACCUGGCCAUGCCGAAUCGGGUAAGUGAGAUUGUAAGUGCUGCUGGAUCGCGACUUAGAAAGCGCAUCAUCCCCAAUAAAGAAAUCAAGAUCCGCCAUAACCCCAGCGUUGUGCUGGGCAACCCAAUUGCCUUUAGAAGUGCUCCUCGAUUGAUUCAGAAAGGACUCGUUAACCGCAACCACUGUCGGAACAAUAAAACAUGGCUCAACAUUACCAGCAAACCCCAUCUUCGUAUACCUGCAACAAAAAACAUAACCCAAUUCAUGUCAAUCAGGAAUUCACACAAUUCUAAUCACAGAACUUCGAAAAAUCAAAAAAAUCCAACAGGGUAAUUUUAACAAACACGUGGUGGGCAAUAUUGAAACAGAGCAAAAAAAACACCCAGAUGGAGAAAAGGGUACCCGGAGCCAUUAUCGAUGACUACAGCUGGACGAGAAGUAGCGGGGUCCAUGAGGAAGAGCGAGAAGGCAGUGAAGUUUGAAGGUGUAUGUGAAGGUGAGAUCCGGAAGUGAGGGUGAAGCAAGGGAUCAUGGUGGUGUAGGUGAUGAGGAUGAUGGUGACGCAGGCUUUGAUAUGAAGUGAAAAGAGCGAGUGAACAACGUAGAAUUAGGAAGAUGUUGGAAGUGGUGGUGGUUGGUGAUUGUUACUCUUGUUGUUGUUCUUCUUGCCAUUUUCAACUAUAAACUCGUAACAAAUGAAGGUUCCAUUAACUCUGUUUGUUUUCCUGAUAUGCUUUCCUUUUCCACAAUCAAACUAUGGAAAUGGUCCUUUUCUCUCUUCUCUCUCAACCUUUGCUCUAUUAAUUAUUAUUGACUUAAUACUUGUUUUUGGGCUGCCACAAGCCCAAUGGCCCAACACUACAUCAUUGUUUUUUUUUGCAAAAUUAUCAUCCUUUCUUCGAAAAAAAAGUUUGAUUUUAGUAUUUUACUCAUUUUCUACUUUUGUUGAACUCAAACGGUAAAACACACAUCUCAACACAUUAAGCGGAGAAAUAUAAUUUGUCACAUUAACAAAUGAAACAUCGUUGAUUAGGGAGGGAGAGGCGGAGGAGGGGCUGGAAGAUUUGGGGGAAUGUAUGGAAGGAUACGGUGGCUGCAUGGUGGAGGUGGAGGAAGGUUUGGGGGAAUGCAAGGAUAAUGGGGGAGGAAGAGUGGAAAUGAGAAAGAGAAUAACUAAAAGUGAUUAAAGAGAACUUUGAAGAACUAUAAUGUAAAAAGUAAAUGUGGACAAGUUAUAUCUGACUAUAAUUGUCCUUGGGUUGGUGACUGUUUGAAAAAAAUUGUAACAUAAACCUAAUAACAUCACGGUAUCUUUCUUUAAAACAAUUUUUUUUGACUAGAAGCUAUACAAACAAUUUAGGGACCAUUUGAGACUCAAUUGUAGUAUAAAUCAAGGACUAAACAUAUUUAACUCUUGGUUAAAAUAAAAAAAGAUUGUAUGCGACCAAUUAACUAAUUUCAAUAACUAACUUUUUGGUCUUGUGUCCUUGAAAUUAAGAUUGACUAAUCAGAAUUGGCUAGUUAUACCUUCUUGAAAAAGGUAAAUAUCUCAUAAAACUAUCUAUUUUUACAUAGAAAAAACUACAAUACAUUGGAACCAAAUAUCAUAUCUAUAGGAAAUCAAACUCAUCACCAUUUUAACCAUUUAUUUUAAAGAUUGAUAUAAAAAGGUGAAAUAGUAAUUUAUGUAUGUGACACUCGGGGCCGACAAGGUAUGAGAGUGAUCGACGGUGUAAUGAGGUAUUCCGAGAUUAUAUAUAUGAAAUUAUACCGUUUAGGAAAGUAUAAAAGAUUUGAUUGAUACUACUCAUGACAUCAACACGCAUCUUCUUUUCGGAAGCUCAACUUUUAAAAACUUCAAAGUUAAGUAUGUUUGUUUUGAAGCAAUAUUUAGAUGAGUAACCUCUUGUGAAGUUUUCUCUUAAAGCAUAUGAGUUAUGAAGAUAACACGUGUUGGAAAACUCGUGUUGUUACCGUAAAAUCAAUCAUCAUAUUAGGAUGUUACAAUAUAACUACAAAAGUAUUACUUUUAUUUUUCCAUUCAUUCUCUCUUUUUUUUUCUCUUAAUAUAAAUAAUUUAAAAAUUACCUCAUUUUUCACCCAUAUUCUUUAAACUCAUUUCUAUUUAUUCAUCCAAAUAAAGCAUUAGUUUUUGAAAGAAAAUUAUAAUUGAAAUUGGAACUCUAGACUUUAAACUUUAUUUGUAUAGUUAGGUGUUAGGCCAAGCCACACCCACCAUGUUCUCCGGCAAACAUUCCUGGGAACAAGGUCUGCGGAGUGCGGAAUAAACAAGACAAGACAAGUAUGGUAAUUAACCUUUUGCAGUUCUUUAUGCCUAGUGCCUAUCCUAGCAUUAUCUCUCUUUUGGUAUAAAGAUGUCGCCAAAUAUACUCAUGUCAUGCCAGUUCUUUACCUUGCACUAAAACACGAGAAGUCUUCUUCAAUUAAGAAAGUUUUUUUUUGAAUUUAGCAACUUGGCUUAUGUAAAACUUCAAAUCGUGCAUAUUUUGAUUUUUUAGAUACAAGAGUUUCUUCAUGCAUACGAAGCAGAUUAUUUUUAAAAAAAAAAAUUGUUUUAGUAAUUCCAACUCAGACGUGGUGAAGGUUAAAUGUCACCCCCAAUUAUUCGGGUAUUAGAAAUCGAAUUCUCGACUUAGAGAUUCAAACAACCACUUAUUACUAUUGUAAUCACCCUCAUUGGGUUCAGGUUCAACAUUUUACAUUAAACAAAUUUAAAAAAUAAAGUAUUAAAAUAUAGAAUAUAGACCUAAAGGGUUUAUGUGUAAACCAUUUGGUCGAACCAAGGAAUAUACUCUUCAAUUAGAGUACCCCAAGUCCAGAUCAAGUCUUAAUGAAUAACACAAACUUGUUCGUUUCUCAACUUCAAUGUUAAGGGGUUGUGUACUCUCCCACGUGGUCCGACCAAGGAAUAUAACCAUCAACCAAGGUAUCACAAGCUCAUAUCAAGUCAUAGUAAGAACAACACAAACAUAUUCGCUUCUUAGCUCCAUCAUUGAGAAGAUAUAUACCAUCUCAUAUGAUCUCAAACCAAGGAAUUACCCCUCGACCAAGGUAUCCCAACUCCAUAAACAACAAAAGUAUGUUCGCUUCAAAGCUCCAACCUUAAAGGGGUUGUGUACUCACCAAUCUAGUUGGACCAAGGAAUAUAUCCCUCAACGUCUCAACGAGGGUAUUCGAAGUCCAUACCAGGUUAUAGUAAUAAUAGCACAAGCAUAUCCAUUUCUCAACUUCAACCAUACGAGGUUGUAUACCCCCUCUUCUAGUCGACAUAGGAAUAUACCCCUAGAUUAGGGCAUCUCAAGUCCAAAUCAAGCCCUAGUAAGAAUAAAAUAAACAUGUCAACUCCAAUCUUAAGAGGACGUGUAACCUCUAACUUGGUCAGAAAAAGGAGUAUACCCCUCGACCAGGGCAUCCUAAGUCCGAAUCAAGUCCUAAUAAGAACAACUCAAGCCUUUUUGCUUCUCAACUUCAGCUUUAAGGGGUUGUGGACCCGCUCUUCCUCUUAAGUUAGGCACACUCCUAAGAAUAAGUUCAUACCUUAUGGUUGAGGACUUGAGGUAUCUCUGGUCUUGUAUGAUCUCGUUUAUAACUACAAUGUAUACUUAAAAGAGGACAUACCUUUGCAUUCAGUCAACAAACGAUUAUAGGGGACUACACACGAUACUAAAGAGGAAACAAACUCUGAAGGCUCGAGAGUCAAAGACAACAAGCAGAAGGGAUUCAUAGGAUAUGGGAGACAAAUUGUACGUACAAACUAAAUACGCGUCGCUUAGCAGCUCACAACUUAAAAGAAGAAAGGGACAUCGUCACUACAAGACAAAGGGAUGGAAAAACUGGCAUGAAGGAAAAUUACGAAUAAACAAUAAUAGACAAUAUGAAAGGCAUUAGGCGAAUAAGAGCAAGUAUAUAUUUACUUGUAACCAUGUAAGGCUAUUAUAAAAGUGUUUAAUGCUUCUUUCCGCACACUUAACCUGUCAUUAUACUUAAACUUUGUGAGAACAGUUACUAACAACGUUUCUCGGCACCAAAAUCUUGGGCUAGAACAAAACGACUAGAAAUCAAUAUAGUCCCAAACGAUGAAUAUUAUUAUAAAUGGGUAUAUUUAUUUUAUUUGAAUAUUACUGAUUGUAUUGAGGGACAAAAGAUUGUAUUCCAACAAUGAAGACUUUUUUUGUCAUGAUAAAGUAGGUCAAGCUAAUAAGGAUAAUUGGGUACUUUUUGUAUCUUUUUCCCCUUCUAAUAUCAUGAGUUUUCCGUGCCUUGGGGUGAACUUUUUAAGUGUGGACUCCACCUGACUUUUACCAUUCACCCUACAUUCAAUCUCAAAAACAAUAUUUUCCCUUAGAAAAUAAAAAUAUUUUCAUCUAGAAUACCCUAUCUGGAGCUGUCUAAAAUUACUCAUUAGAAUUUUUUUUCUCAUUUAAUUGGACAAAUAUAAUAUAAGGUAUAAAUAAAAUAAAAAGUUAUAGAAGUCCUUACCGCUUAUCUCAAUUUUUAUUAAUUAAUUUUCCCUGUAUAAGGUAAAAAAAUCUUCAUGAGUGAUUUAAACUACCUAUAUUUUUAUUUAAUUAGUUUUUUACGUAUAUAUGUUUGAUUUUGGAGCUCAAAUGAUAAAUUCUCACAAAUGACUAUCAAACAUUCGGCAUCCCAAAAUAGUUUUACUAAGUUAGAGUUGAUUUAUAGGUUCUUAAACCCAGUGACGGAUCCAGAAAUUUAAUGUAGUGGGGGCAAUAUAUACAUAUAAGUUUAACAAAAAAUAUUAACAUAUACUUUUAGAAGUGAAGACAUUUUUUACCAAAGGGAACACAAGUGAUGACAUUUUUUAGCAAAGAGAUCAUAAAAAACCACAUACUUUUACUACUCAAGUGAGGGCAAUUAGCAAUGUGUGAUACAUUUAGCAAUGUAGGACAUAAGUGAAAACAUUUUUUAUCAAAAAGAUCAUAAAAAAUCACAUAUUUUUACUACUCAAAUUUUUUUUCUAAUGUUUUUCCCAAAAUUAAGUAAGGGCACUUGCCCUCAUACCUAUACAUUUGCAUCCGUGUGCUUAAACCAAACACACACUUAAAUGAGCGUAAUUAAUCCAAGUGAUAUUAUGCCCUAUUCUUAUCUCCUCUCUCAUCAUCAUAGGAAGUAGGAACAUUAGACAACGUGUUCUGGAUAUUGUAGAAUCCAAGGAUGUUCAAAAGGAAAAAGCAUACAUUGAAAAAUGAGAGAUGUGGAGGAGAGUGACAACAUCAUGCAAAGAACCAAAUACUUGAAAUAAAACAUUUUUGGUUUUCAAGGUAUCUCUCGGUUGGCACUUGGCAGUAAAAAUAUAAGACUUGAAAAUUAUAUUAAGUGGGUAAGUCUAUUUUAAUAUUUUUUUACAUACACAUCACUCUAAAUUGGAACUUAAACAAAAUGCAUCUAACUAUUUACAACUAUGCUAAAUCUUGUUGGAAUAAAAUAUUUUGGUUUGAGGUUAUGGAGACUGAGACAGUCAGCGUAGGACAACUUGGGAACUCUCGCUUUCCACUACGAAACCCAACUCAAGACAAAAUCUUUAAACUUAUAGUAACUCCAUAAUCACCCCAUAAUUCUUGCAAUAUUUUAAGGGAACGGGGACAAAUUGACAAUUAAAUAAUUGCUCGAAGAUUUGCAUAAUAAUUAAUUCAUCUUCGAUCGUACGUGCUCUAAUAUUUUAAUUAUUGGGGGUUGCUGAAUAUAUAUACCUGGCGAUGUUAGUCUGAUUCCUUUAUUGGUUGCUGCCACCCAACACAGACAUGGAAAUAAGAAUCAAUGCACUGCAUUGAGCAUUGAAACUGCUUCCUCUUAUAGCCUUUUAUGUUUAGAAAUCAGAAAUAAAAUAUAAAGCAUUAGGGGGGAGCAGAGCAGUGGUGAAAAGGUACGGAUGAAAUUAUCAGAAGCACCACAGCGAUUCUAGUAGGAAAAUGACUUGUUCAUAUUUAUCUAUGUUCAUAUAAAUGAGAGAUAGAAAGAAAAAAAUAUAAUUGAGAGAUAUGAUAAGUAAUGUGAUAGAAAAAGAUAUGAAAAAUAUAAAAAGAGAAAGUAAGUUAAAAGUUUUUAAACUUCUAAAUUCCGCCAAAUUAGAAAAUAUCUUAUUCUUUUAAUUAAAAUUAAAGUCAAAUGUAAUUAUCUCUCCUAUGUGGCAUGCUUUGAUUGGAUGACUGUGUAAAACUAUUUUACACCGUCAGUGCAUAUCCAUUAAACUCUACUUUUUAAUAUAAUUAGGAAAUAUAAUUGUGUAAUUAACUAUUUUGUUAACAUAUUUGUUAUAUAUAAAUAAUUACUUAAUUUAACUUUACCAUUUUUGAAUUUUUUAUUAUUAAAAUUUAACUCUUUAAUAUUUUAAUUAAAUGCAUGAAAGGUUUUUUAAUUAAUUUUUAAUACAAUUAGUAAUGUAAAAAACUAAUUAAUAAUUUCAUUAAUGUAAGAUUUUUCCUUUUUUAUAAUUAAUAACUAAUUCUAAUAUUCAACAGUAUUCCAAUUAAUAUAUUUAUAGAUUUUUUACAAUUAUAUUUAAUAUUACAACUAAUAAUAUAAAAAAUCAUUAAUAAUUAAUUAAUAAUACAAUUAAUACAAUGAUGAAAGUGCAACUGAAACAUACCCCUAUGAAGCCCAUCCAACUUCCAAGAAGAAGGACAGUAUUGUAAUUUUGGUGUUGUCUCUUUAGACUAGGAUAUACAAACUAGUCUUCGUCCUUGGUUUCUUUGUGCUCUGUUUGCUUUUCCAUUGAUCACUCUCACUCCUUAAACCUUGAGAGAGCCUACUCAUUCUCUUAAUCCACACACGCGCAGAGCAAAAAACUUCACCAAAACACACACUCAUUAUUCUUACCCUUUAUAGUAUCAUCAUUAUCACCAUUAUUAUUAUUUAUUUAUUUACUUAUUACUUAUCCUAAUUCCAAAUAAACAAACACAAACUCAUAGAGAGUGAGAGUGGGAGUGAGUGAGAAAACGUUGGUUUAACUCGCCGCCGUGAGUGAAAAACCGAUCACAUUCACCACCAUGGGAAACUUAGACCCCACGGCGGAGGAGUUCAAGCCGAGAAGAAACCCUAACCACUUACCCUUACCCCCACCCCCACCCCCACCCCCA
rnacentral:lncRNA from 1 species